CUUGAACGCUGGCGGCAGGCCUAACACAUGCAAGUCGAACGAGUGGCGGACGGGUGAGUAAUGUCUGGGAACCUGCCCGAUGGAGGGGGAUAACUACUGGAAACGGUAGCUAAUACCGCAUACAAUCGGAUGUGCCCAGAGGGGAUUAGCUUGUAGGUGAGGUCACGGCUCACCUAGGCGACGAUCCCUAGCUGGUCUGAGAGGAUGACCAGCCACACUGUAACUGAGACACGUACCAGACUCCUAGGGGAGGCAGCAGUGGGGAAUAUUGCACAAUGGGCGCAAGCCUGAUGCAGCCAUGCCGCGUGUAUGAAGAAGGCCUUCGGGUUGUAAAGUACUUUCAGCGGGGAGGCGUUACCCGCAGAAGAAGCACCGGCUAACGCCGUGCCAGCAGCCGCGGUAAUUC
rnacentral:rRNA from 1 species